rnacentral:lncRNA from 1 species
AUUUCAGUAUUCAUGUAGCACUGAAUUAUACCGCUAGUCUGAUGUUCUUGUGCACAGCGUGUAAAAUUGUGCGCUGCGCGAAACAAGACAAACGCAACCGCUCCAACUCGA